rnacentral:rRNA from 1 species
UACGGGGGGGCAAGCGUUGUUCGGAAUUACUGGGCGUAAAGGGCUCGUAGGCGGCCAACUAAGUCAGACGUGAAAUCCCUCGGCUUAACCGGGGAACUGCGUCUGAUACUGGAUGGCUUGAGAUUGGGAGAGGGAUGCGGAAUUCCAGGUGUAGCGGUGAAAUGCGCAGAUAUCAGGAGGAACACCGGUGGCGAAGGCGGGUCUCUGGGCAGUAACUGACGCUGAGGAGCGAAAGCGUGGGGAGCAAACAGG